rnacentral:rRNA from 1 species
UUCGGAUACUCGCCGAAAGGCGUGCUAAUACCGGAUAAUGACGAAAGUCCAAAGAUUUAUCGCCCGAGGAUGAGCCCGCGUAGGAUUAGCUAGUUGGUGUGGUAAAGGCGCACCCGGCGCGACGAUCCUUAGCUGGUCUGAAAGGAUGAUCAGCCACACUGGGACUGAGACACGGCCCACACUCCUACGGGAGGCAGCAGUGGGGAAUAUUGGACAAUGGGCGAAAGCCUGAUCCAGCAAUGCCGCGUGAGUGAUGAAGGCCUUAAGGUUGUAAAGCUCUUUUACCCGGGAUGAUUUGACCGGGCCGGGAGAAUACCCCCCGGCUAACUCCGUGCCCCCGGCUAACUCCGAGGAAGCAGCCGCGGUAAUACGA